rnacentral:rRNA from 1 species
UACGAAGGGGGCUAGCGUUGUUCGGAAUUACUGGGCGUAAAGCGCGUGUAGGCGGGUCUUUAAGUCAGGGGUGAAAUGCCAAGGCUCAACCUUGGAACUGCCUUUGAUACUGGAGAUCUUGAGUCCGGGAGAGGUGAGUGGAACUGCGAGUGUAGAGGUGAAAUUCGUAGAUAUUCGCAAGAACACCAGUGGCGAAGGCGGCUCACUGGCCCGGAACUGACGCUGAGAUGCGAAAGCGUGGGGAGCAAACAGG